AUAACACACCCUCAUACCAUCACAGAUGCUGGCUUUUGAACUUUGUGCUGAUAACAAUCUGGAUGGUCCUUUUCCUCUUUGGCCCGGAGGACAUGACGUCCAUGAUUUCCAAAAACAAUUUGAAAUGUGGACUUGUCAGACCACAGCACACUUUGUCACUUUGAUGAUUUUAUGGA